GAUGAACGCUGGCGGCGUGCCUAAUACAUGCAAGUCGAGCGAACAGACGAGGAGCUUGCUCCUCUGACGUUAGCGGCGGACGGGUGAGUAACACGUGGAUAACCUACCUAUAAGACUGGGAUAACUUCGGGAAACCGGAGCUAAUACCGGAUAAUAUAUUGAACCGCAUGGUUCAAUAGUGAAAGACGGUUUUGCUGUCACUUAUAGAUGUAUCCGCGCCGCAUUAGCUAGUUGGUAAGGUAACGGCUUACCAAGGCGACGAUGCGUAGCCGACCUGAGAGGGUGAUCGGCCACACUGGAACUGAGACACGGUCCAGACUACUACGGGAGGCAGCAGUAGGGAAUCUUCCGCAAUGGGCGAAAGCCUGACGGAGCAACGCCGCGUGAGUGAUGAAGGUCUUCGGAUCGUAAAACUCUGUUAUUAGGGAAGAACAAAUGUGUAAGUAACUAUGCACGUCUUGACGGUACCUAAUCAGAAAGCAACGGCUAACUACGUG
rnacentral:rRNA from 1 species